rnacentral:rRNA from 1 species
CCGCCGGCGACCGGCGCACGGGUGAGUAACACGUAUGCAACCUGGCCGUGACAGAUGGAUAACCGGGAGAAAUCCCGCCUAAUACAACAUAAUGCCGGGAGGGGACACCCCCUGCCGGCCAAAGGGGGCGACCCCGGUCACGGAUGGGCAUGCGGCGCAUUAGGUAGUUGGUGGGGCAACGGCCCACCAAGCCGACGAUGCGUAGGGGUUCUGAGAGGAAGGUCCCCCACAUUGGAACUGAGACACGGUCCAAACUCCUACGGAAGGCAGCAG